CCUACGGGUGGCAGCAGUGAGGAAUAUUGGUCAAUGGGCGGGAGCCUGAACCAGCCAAGUCGCGUGAAGGAAGAAGGUACUUAGUAUUGUAAACUUCUUUUGUCGGGGAAUAAAGGGUGAGACGCGUCUGCGGAUGAGUGUACCCGAAGAAAAAGCAUCGGCUAACUCCGUGCCAGCAGCCGCGGUAAUACGGAGGAUGCGAGCGUUAUCCGGAUUUAUUGGGUUUAAAGGGAGCGUAGAUGGAUUGUUAAGUCAGUUGUGAAAGUUUGCGGCUCAACCGUAAAAUUGCAAUUGAUACUGGCAGUCUUGAGUACAGUUGAGGUAGGCGGAAUUCGUGGUGUAGCGGUGAAAUGCUUAGAUAUCACGAAGAACUCCGAUUGCGAAGGCAGCUUACUAAACUGCCACUGACAUUGAUGCUCGAAAGUGUGGGUAUCAAACAGGAUUAGAUACCCCGGUAGUC
rnacentral:rRNA from 1 species